rnacentral:rRNA from 16 species
UGAGAACUUUGAAGACUGAAGUGGAGAAAGGUUCCAUGUGAACAGCAAUUGGACAUGGGUUAGUCGAUCCUAAGAGAUGGGGCAAUCCUGUGUCAAGGGCGCGAUUCGCGCCGCCCAUCGAAAGGGAAAAGGGUUAAGAUUCCCUUACCUGGACAAGGCGGCUGACGGCAACGUAAGCGAGCCCGGAGACGCCGGCGGUGGCCCUGGGAAGAGUUCUCUUUUCUUUUUAACAGCUCGAAGGCCCUGGAAUCGGAUCAUCCGGAGAUAGGGCUCAGCAGCUGGUAAAGCACCGCACGUCUCGCGGUGUCCGGCGCGCCACCGACGGUCCUUGAAAAUCCGGGGGAGCAUUUCCGAUCUUGCCAGGUCGUACUCAUAACCGCAUCAGGCCUCCAAGGUUAGCAGCCUCUAGUC